rnacentral:rRNA from 1 species
UACGGGGGGGGCAAGCGUUGUUCGGAAUUACUGGGCGUAAAGGGCUCGUAGGCGGCCAACUAAGUCAGACGUGAAAUCCCUCGGCUUAACCGGGGAACUGCGUCUGAUACUGGAUGGCUUGAGUUUGGGAGAGGGAUGCGGAAUUCCAGGUGUAGCGGUGAAAUGCGUAGAUAUUGGGAAGAACACCGGUGGCGAAGGCGACACCCUGGACCAGCACUGACACUGAGGCACGAAAGCGUGGGGAGCAAACAGG